rnacentral:other from 1 species
UGUUCCCUGCGGUGUUCGUGAUAGGCGGUAGGCUGUGAGCCAACACCUCAACACAGGGAGUCGUUCCCUGCUGCGGUGUGCAUGCUCACCUCGAGUGAGAAGCCUGAUGCAGUAAAACGACACCCACGUGAACACGAGGUUCAAGACAUAUCGUCUACACGGCAUUGCGGGGCUAAU